rnacentral:rRNA from 1 species
UACGUAGGGUGCAAGCGUUGUCCGGAAUUAUUGGGCGUAAAGAGCUCGUAGGCGGUUUGUCGCGUCGGCUGUGAAAACCUGGGGCUCAACCCCGGGCAUGCAGCCGAUACGGGCAAACUAGAAUUCGGUAGGGGAGACUGGAAUUCCUGGUGUAGCGGUGAAAUGCGUAGAUAUCAGGAGGAACACCGGUGGUGUAGACGGCUCUCUGGACCGUAACUGACGCUGAGACACGAAAGCGUGGGUAGCAAACAGG